rnacentral:lncRNA from 1 species
GAGAAGACAGGCUGAGCAAACACAAAGACAGGAAAGCAGUGUAGGAAGUCAGGGAAGAGGUCCAGAAUCUUCUCUUUUCCCUGCUGCCCGAAAGCAUGAUGCGAAGCUUCCAAUGAAUUCUGCAAUUCUAUCCGUGUUUCGGGGCUAGCAUGGAACAAAUCAAAGUUUUAAUUCAAUGUAGACGUUGUUUCUCUACAUUUGGUAAAAUGAAG